AAACAUGUCUUUUUGAAAAUAAUUUAAAGUCUAAUCUGCCCACUGAUNAAAUUAUUAAAGGGCUGCAGUAUUUUGACUGUACAAAGGUAGCAUAAUCAUUAGUCUCUUAAUUGGUGACUUGUAUGAAAGAUUGGAUGAAAUAUAUACUGUCUCUAUUUAAUUUAUAAAAUUUAAUUUUUUAGUAAAAAAGCUAAAAUGAAUUUAAAAGACGAGAAGACCCUAUAGAGUUUAAUAAUUUAUUUAAUUAUUAUUAAUGUAUAAAUUUUAAAAUUAAAAUUGAAUAAAUUAUUUUGUUGGGGUGAUAGAAAAAUUAAAUUAACUUUUUUUUUAUUUUAUACAUUAAUUUAUGAAUAAAUGAUCCAUUAAUAAUGAUUAAAAGAAAAAAUUACCUUAGGGAUAACAGCGUAAUUUUUUUUUUUAGUUCAAAUAGGAAAAAAAGUUUGCGACCUCGAUGUUGGAUUAAGAUAAAAA
rnacentral:rRNA from 1 species